rnacentral:rRNA from 1 species
CCUACGGGUGGCAGCAGUGAGGAAUAUUGGUCAAUGGUCGAGAGUCUGAACCAGCCAAGUAGCGUGAAGGAUGACGGUACUGAGGAUUGUAAACUUCUUUUAUCUGGGAAUAAAAGAGGGUAUGCGUCCCCGCAUGUGUGUACCAGAUGAAAAAGGAUCGGCUAACUCCGUGCCAGCAGCCGCGGUAAUACGGAGGAUGCGAGCGUUAUCCGGAUUUAUUGGGUUUAAAGGGUGCGUAGGUGGAUUGUUAAGUCAGUGGUGAAAGCUUGGGGCUCAACCCUAAAACUGCAGUUGAAACUGGCAGUCUCGAGUAGAGUAGAGGUAGGCGGAAUGCGUGGUGUAGCGGUGAAAUGCUUAGAUAUCGCGAAGAACUCCGAUUGCGAAGGCAGCUCGCUGGAUUCCCACUGACGCUGAGGCACGAAAGUGUGGGUAUCAAACAGGAUUAGAUACCCGUGUAGUC